rnacentral:tRNA from 1 species
UCUAAUAUGGCAGAUAAGUGCGGUGGAUUUAAGCUCCAUAAAUAAAGAUAAACUUUUGUUAGAA